rnacentral:lncRNA from 1 species
UUUGAGAAUGAAAUCUCACCGCAUAAAAGAAUGGACAAACUCUUGUUGCAGUGGAAUAAAAAGCAUUAAAUAUCUUCUUUUUUUCUUUUUAUAACUGUAGUGCCGGGACUAGCUUGCAUGCACCUUGACUAAUUUUACGGGAUGCCUACCACCUCCCAGUGAAAUGGUGCAGACUUCCUGUUUCCUAGAUGGCUUAAAGUGGUGCUGCCGUCUCACUCCAAGUACUUCCAGCAGCUUUAGUAUUUUCGUCGGAAUGUAACUUGGAAUUCCUGUCACAUCAUAAGACUCCAGAAAAUCUUGACCAUGUCUACAAAACCAUUGAUCUCAACCACAUAUUCUCAUAUCAAAGUGGGACUGUCUUUGCUCCCACUGUCCCAAAUUCAAGGAAAAUGAUCUGACGGAGUCUUAAGAAGGAUAGAACGUCAAAUGUACCUCAACUAUAUAUCCCAGUCAGUAGAAGACAAGAGGGGUUGCUCUGAUGGUAAGCAACCCCCACUUCCAGCCAAGAGGUUGUGAGUCUCCCCAAGAGCAAGGUGGGAAGUUCUUGGAGGGAAGGAUGCUGGGGGUCUAUUUGGAAACAGUCUCUCUACCCAAGGGUAAGGGUAAGGUCUGCGUACACUACCCUCCUCAGACCCCACUAAGUGGGAUUAUAUUGGGUUGUUGUUGUUGUUGUUGUUGUUGUUGUUGUCGCUGCCGGAUUUGAACCCGAGACCUCAGGUUCUCAACCUACUAAUAUCUUGUUCAACUAAUUGUAUCUGUCCUGCUCAGACGCUCUCUGACUAUGUCAAAACACUGGCUUUGCCCUAUCACUUAAAAGCCUAGCAAAUGCUCACCUGAUUAUUCAGGUCACACAUGUCACUCCAAGGACACAUAUUUGAAGCUGCUGUUCGACCA